rnacentral:rRNA from 1 species
CCCAGACUCCUACGGGAGGCAGCAGUGGGGAAUAUUGCACAAUGGGGGAAACCCUGAUGCAGCGACGCCGCGUGAGUGAAGAAGUAAUUCGUUAUGUAAAGCUCUAUCAGCAGGGAAGAAAAUGACGGUACCUGAGUAAGAAGCCCCGGCUAACUACGUGCCAGCAGCCGCGGUAAUACGUAGGGGGCAAGCGUUAUCCGGAUUUACUGGGCGUGAGGGGGGCGCAGGCGGCGCGCCAAGCCCGAUGUGAAAGCCCGGGGCUCAACCCCGGGACUGCAUUGGGAACUGGCGUGCUGGAGUGCCGGAGGGGCAGGCGGAAUUCCUAGUGUAGCGGUGAAAUGCGUAGAUAUUAGGAGGAACACCAGUGGCGAAGGCGGCCUGCUGGACGAUGACUGACGUUGAGGCUCGAAAGCGUGGGGAGCAAACAGGAUUAGAUACCCCAGUAC